rnacentral:tRNA from 1 species
GGUUUUAUAGUCAAUAAUGAUAUUAGAUUGCAAUUCUAAAGGAAUAAUAUAUUAAAUUAUUAAAACUU